GGUAAGAUGGCCGAGCGGUCUAAGGCGCUACGUUCAGGUUUCAGUUCUGAAUAUCUCAUCGUAGUCUCGUAAGGGGCGUGAGUUCGAAUCUCACUCUUAUCA
rnacentral:tRNA from 1 species